AGGAUAGAGCAGAAGCCUAAGAAAGGAUGACUGACAGAGAAACAAGUGAUACAGCUCUGACUGACCGAGAUACAGGUGAUACAGCUCUGACUGACAGAGAUACAGGUGAUACAGCUCUGACUGACAGAGAUACAGGUGAUACAGCUCUGACUGACAGAGAUACAGGUGAUACAGCUCUGACUGACAGAGAUACAGGUGAUACAGCUCUGACUGACAGAGAUACAGGUGAUACAGCUCUGACUGACAGAGAUACAGGUGAUACAGCUCUGACUGACAGAGAUACAGGUGAUACAGCUCUGACUGACAGAGAUACAGGUGAUACAGCUCUGACUGACAGAGAUACAGGUGAUACAGCUCUGACUGACAGAGAUACAGGUGAUACAGCUCUGACUGACAGAGAUACAGGUGAUACAGCUCUGACUGACAGAGAUACAGGUGAUACAGCUCUGACUGA